GGGCAGCUGUUGGGCUUUUGUCUGAAGCUCAAGCGGAAGGAAUCCGAGCUCUCGCCUCUCUCCGAAGGGGCGAAGAAGAGAAGGAAAGAUGCGGGAAACCACAGGAGACCCACCGGUCAAAGAGACACUACUACUUCUCGAAACCACCUACCAUUCUUCUUCCCUCUUUCUCUUUCUUCUUCUUCUUCUAUUAUUAGUUUCAGUCGCUAUAUAUAUAUUUGAUUCCUAUCCCUGCUUCCUCUUACUACUUCCUGUUAUCUCUCCGGAGGGGUGUUGAUAUUGUUCCCUCGGGUCUCCCACGGCGAUGGCUGGAGGCAGCAAUAUCCAUGCGAAGCUGGCUCAAGUGGAAUUCGAUGGUCUAUUUCUCUGGCAGGAGGAAGGUGUGGCAAUUCCUGGAAAAUCACAUCAAAUUCUUGAAUCAACUGAUGCAUGUCUUCAGGUACUUCUUGGGGACAUGGGAACUGGAAAGACUAGUAUAGUACUGAGGUUUGUCAAAGGCCAGUAUUUUGAUUGUCAGGAAUCUACAAUUGGUGCAGCCUUUUUCUCUCAAAUACUAUCAGUAAGUGAUGCAACUAUAAAGUUUGAUAGAUAGGAUACAGCUGGACAAGAGCAAUAUCAUAGCCUGGCUCCCAUAUAUUAUCGUGGGGCAGCUGCAACUAUUGUUGUGUAUGACAUCUCGAGCAGAAUUUUUUGUGUUUGGCAGGUUAGGAAUGGGUUUAGUCUCCUUAACCCUUCACGUAACUCAUUGCUGAACAACACCUUAAGAUGUCAUUUUCUUUGAAUCUGUUCCAUAUUUUUGAUCCAUAUGUAGAGGAUCGCCACUUUCCUCUAUUUCUCCUCCACAGCUGAUACUGCCACCUGCCCUUACUCAGUUAGUGCUGAGUUCUGAAGUUGAUGAAAAGCUUGCAUCAAAGCCAGCUCUAGUAUAUACUAGAAGACCAAAAGUACAUACCUAGCUUACCUCCAACCGAUCCUCCGUCUGUGGUUAAAGGUCUUACUCAUCAGCAAUCCUCUUUUCCUUCUGAUUUUAAUGUUCAUGUCGCUCUUUGAAAAGGUCUUAUCAGGAAGCCAUGUUAGUUCCUACUUAGAAGGAGGAUAUGGGUGAGGAGAUGAAAGCACUUGCUUCUCAGCAUACUUGGGAUGUAGUUCAUGCUCCUCAGGGAGCAAAUAUUGUGGGUUGUCACGGGGCCUUCACUGUGAAGUACCGUCCUAAUGGUUCUGUGGAUAGAUACAAAGGUUAUCCCUUCUGCAGGUUUUAUAUGGUCCAGAUUGUGUAUAGUUAAAAUGUCGAUUCUUAUUCCUAAUUGGAGCAGGCUUAGAACAUUUUUCUUGAUCAGGGUCUAGUCCCACCUUCUCCAAACAACUAGCAAGAAUCCAAAGAAUUGACUAAUAUAUAGAAAAUUUCUGGAAAAAAAAAAAGCAAGGAUAGAACCAUCAAAUUAUUUUUCUGGAGUAGUAACUAUGUCAAAGCUUGAAAUCCUGAUUCAUAAAUUAUGGGCGUUGACGAAACCUGUUGAUAUCUGAUGAUAUGUGGUUUAUAGAGAUGAGGAUACACGAUUGUUAAUUACUGAAAGCAUAGAGCUCCUGUAAUGGUGAUAAUUCUAGAAAUCCACAAUUGUUAGCUAGUGGAAU